AGUAAUGUAUGGGGAUCUGCCCGAUAGAGGGGAAUAACUACUGGAAACGGUGGUUAAUACCGCAUAAUGUCUACGGACCAAAGCAGGGGCUCUUCGGACCUUGCACUAUCGGAUGAACCCAUAUGGGAUUAGCUAGUAGGUGGGGUAAAGGCUCACCUAGGCGACGAUCUCUAGCUGGUCUGAGAGGAUGAUCAGCCACACUGGGACUGAGACACGGCCCAG
rnacentral:rRNA from 1 species